UGGGGAAUUUUGGACAAUGGGCGCAAGCCUGAUCCAGCCAUGCCGCGUGCGGGAAGAAGGCCUUCGGGUUGUAAACCGCUUUUGUCAGGGAAGAAAUCUUCUGAGUUAAUACCUCGGGAGGAUGACGGUACCUGAAGAAUAAGCACCGGCUAACUACGUGCCAGCAGCCGCGGUAAUACGUAGGGUGCAAGCGUUAAUCGGAAUUACUGGGCGUAAAGCGUGCGCAGGCGGUUUUGUAAGACAGAGGUGAAAUCCCCGGGCUAACCUGGGAACUGCCUUUGUGACUGCAAGGCUUGAGUGCGGCAGAGGGGGAUGGAAUUCCGCGUGUAGCAGUGAAAUGCGUAGAUAUGCGGAGGAACACCGAUGGCGAAGGCAAUCCCCUGGGCCUGCACUGACGGCUCCAUGCACGAAAGCGUGGGAGCAAACAGGAUUAGAUAGCCCUGGUAGUCC
rnacentral:rRNA from 1 species